GAUGAACGCUGGCGGCGUGCCUAAUACAUGCAAGUCGAGCGAACGGACGAGAAGCUUGCUUCUCUGAUGUUAGCGGCGGACGGGUGAGUAACACGUGGAUAACCUACCUAUAAGACUGGGAUAACUUCGGGAAACCGGAGCUAAUACCGGAUAAUAUUUUGAACCGCAUGGUUCAAAAGUGAAAGACGGUCUUGCUGUCACUUCUAGAUGGAUCCGCGCUGCAUUAUCUAGUUGGUAAGGUAACGGCUUACCAAGGCAACGAUGCAUAGCCGACCUGAGAGGGUGAUAGGCCACACUGGAACUGAGACACGGUCCAGACUCCUACGGGAGGCAGCAGUAGGGAAUCUUACGCAAUGGGCGAAAGCAUGACGGAGCAACGCCGCGUGAGUGAUGAAGGUCUUCGGAGCGUAAAACUCUGUUAUUAGGGAAGAACAGAUGUGUAAGUAACUGUGCACAUCGUGACGGUACCUAAUCAGAAAGCCACGGCUAACUACGUG
rnacentral:rRNA from 1 species